rnacentral:rRNA from 1 species
UAAUGUAUCGGAACGUGCCCAGUCGUGGGGGAUAACUGCUCGAAGGAGCAGCUAAUACCGCAUACGACCUGAGGGUGAAAGCGGGGGAUCGCAAGACCUCGCGCGAUUGGAGCGGCCGAUAUCAGAUUAGGUAGUUGGUGAGGUAAAGGCUCACCAAGCCGACGAUCUGUAGCUGGUCUGAGAGGACGACCAGCCACACUGGGACUGAGACACGGCCCAG